UAUAUACUCCCUCCGUUCUGAAUUACUCGCUGCAGAAAUGGAUGUAUCUAGAUGUAUUUUAGUUCUAGAUACAUUCAUUUCUACGACGAGUAAUUUGAAACGGAGGGAGUAUCAU
rfam:Triticum aestivum genome assembly, contig: Triticum_aestivum_CS42_TGACv1_scaffold_577793_7BL